AGUGUCUUGCGCGGAGGUUGGAUGGGCUAAGCAUGUUACCUAUGCUUUGAUUCUUAGAAUCCGGUGGUUAGCUUUGUGAGCCACAUAUAAGCUUUUUUGGGAACUUGGUGGGGAUUUUACAAAAAAAAAUGUAGAUAUAAGUAACGAUUAUGAAGAUGAGAGAACUGCACACCGAUAGGCUAAGGUUUCCUCAGCUAUGUUAAUCAUCUGAGGGUUAGUCGGGGCCUAAGAUGAAGUCGACAGGCUAUAUCCCUGGUUAAGCAGCCAUAUGUGUGCUACUUGCUUUUAUUGUGAUGGGGUGACGAAGAUAUGAAACCAUCGCGUGUAGACGGAAUUGCUCGUUGAAGUAAUCGGGUCUAAUAUAUAUAGAAAAAACCGUAUAUGUUGCUCAGUUGCAAGAGUACCGGAUAGUAUGGCUAAAGGCUUCCAAGAAAAUCCCCUAAACCUCAGAUAAAAGCAACCCGUACCAAAACUGACACAAGUAGUCAAGGAGAGGAUCCUAAGGUGUUCGAGUGAAUCACGGCUAAGGAACUAGGCAAAAUCUACCUGUAACUUAGGGAGAAAGGUAGCCUUCUAAUUUAAGUUAGAGAGUUAGAAGGCCGCAGUGAAGAGAUCCAGACGACUGUUUAACAAAAACAUAGGGCUCUGCUAAAUCGAAAGAUGACGUAUAGGGUCUGACACCUGCCCGGUGCUGGAAGGUUAAGGAAGGAGGUAAACUUUUGUGAAGCCUACGACUGAAGCCCCAGUAAACGGCGGCUGUAACUAUAACAGUCCUAAGGUAGCGAAAUUCCUUGUCGGGCAAGUUCCGACCUGCACGAAUGGUGUAACGAUCUGGAUACUGUCUCGGCCGUGAGC
rnacentral:rRNA from 1 species